rnacentral:rRNA from 1 species
AGUUUGAUCCUGGCUCAGGAUGAACGCUGGCGGCGUGCCUAAUACAUGCAAGUCGAGCGAACCACUUCGGUGGUGAGCGGCGAACGGGUGAGUAACACGUAGGUGAUCUGCCCAUCAGACGGGGACAACGAUUGGAAACGAUCGCUAAUACCGGAUAGGACGAAAGUUUAAAGGUGCUUCUGGCACCGCUGAUGGAUGAGCCUGCGGCGCAUUAGCUAGUUGGUAGGGUAAAGGCCUACCAAGGCGACGAUGCGUAGCCGACCUGAGAGGGUGAACGGCCACACUGGGACUGAGACACGGCCCAGACUCCUACGGGAGGCAGCAGUAGGGAAUCUUCGGCAAUGGGCGAAAGCCUGACCGAGCAACGCCGCGUGAAUGAUGGAGGCUUCGGGUUGUAAAAUUCUGUUAUAAGGGAAGAACGACUUUAGUAGGAAAUGGCUAGAGUGUGACGGUACCUUAUGAGAAAGCCACGGCUAACUACGUG